GGUUGAUCUUGAAUCUGCCAUUAGCAAUGCUGUCUUCCCUGGUUUGCAGGGUGGCCCUCAUAACCACACGAUUGGAGGAUUAGCCCGGAAUUCAAGGCUUACCAGAAAACAGUAAUCACUCUUUUACUUGAUCAUGGCAUCUAUUACUCUCAACAAAAACUCUGUCCCUGUGGUGAAACAGGGGAUAAAAAAGUGCAUUGGUUCCAGGGGGAAUAAGGAUAGGAUCACCAGCGAUGACAACAAGAGGACUGUCAGAGAAAGACUUUGUAGCAGUGGCCGACUUCAUAAAGGAAGGUGUGGACAUAGCGACAUAAGCCAAGAAGUUAGUGCCGGGAUCAAAGCUGCAAGAGUUCACCAAGUUGGUGACUUCACCUGAGUUUCCAUUAAAAGAGAAGGUAAAGAGUCUAAAGGAAAGAGUAGAAUCCUUCACCUCUCGUUUUCCCAUCCCUGGCGUUUAAAGCUAUAACCAGAUCUCUUUCUCUUGUGUUGUAACCUUAUAUUAUUAUUAUUCAAACCUUUUUAUCCUGUCUU